rnacentral:rRNA from 1 species
UACAGAGGUCCCGAGCGUUGUUCGGAUUCACUGGGCGUAAAGGGUGCGUAGGUGGUUAGGUAAGUCCGAUGUGAAAUCUCCAGGCUCAACCUGGAAAUGGCAUUGGAUACUAUUUAGCUUGAGGAGUGGAGGGGGGACUGGAAUUCUCGGGUGUAGCAGUGAAAUGCGUAGAUAUCCGGAGGAACACCAGUGGCGAAGGCGACUUUCUGGCCUGUUCUUGACGCUGAGGCGCGAAAGCUAGGGGAGCAAACGGGG